AUUGAACGCUGGCGGCAGGCCUAACACAUGCAAGUCGAGCGGAUGAAGGGAGCUUGCUCCUGGAUUCAGCGGCGGACGGGUGAGUAAUGCCUAGGAAUCUGCCUGGUAGUGGGGGAUAACGUCCGGAAACGGGCGCUAAUACCGCAUACGUCCUGAGGGAGAAAGUGGGGGCUCUUCGGACCUCACGCUAUCAGAUGAGCCUAGGUCGGAUUAGCUAGUUGGUGGGGUAAAGGCCUACCAAGGCGACGAUCCGUAACUGGUCUGAGAGGAUGAUCAGUCACACUGGAACUGAGACACGGUCCAGACUCCUACGGGAGGCAGCAGUGGGGAAUAUUGGACAAUGGGCGAAAGCCUGAUCCAGCCAUGCCGCGUGUGUGAAGAAGGUCUUCGGAUUGUAAAGCACUUUAAGUUGGGAGGAAGGGCAGUAAGUUAAUACCUUGCUGUUUUGACGUUACCAAAAGAAUAAGCACCGGCUAACUUCGUG
rnacentral:rRNA from 1 species